GAUGAACGCUGGCGGCGUGCUUAACACAUGCAAGUCGAACGAUGAAGCCCAGCUUGCUGGGUGUAUUAGUGGCGAACGGGUGAGUAACACGUGAGUAACCUGCCCUUAACUCUGGGAUAAGCCUGGGAAACUGGGUCUAAUACCGGAUAGGAGCGCCUACCGCAUGGUGGGUGUUGGAAAGAUUUAUCGGUUUUGGAUGGACUCGCGGCCUAUCAGCUUGUUGGUGAGGUAAUGGCUCACCAAGGCGACGACGGGUAGCCGGCCUGAGAGGGUGACCGGCCACACUGGGACUGAGACACGGCCCAGACUCCUACGGGAGGCAGCAGUGGGGAAUAUUGCACAAUGGGCGAAAGCCUGAUGCAGCGACGCCGCGUGAGGGAUGACGGCCUUCGGGUUGUAAACCUCUUUCAGUAGGGAAGGAGCGAAAGUGACGGUACCUGCAGAAGAAGCACCGGCUAACUACGUG
rnacentral:rRNA from 1 species